rnacentral:rRNA from 1 species
CCUACGGGAGGCAGCAGUGGGGAAUAUUGGGCAAUGGAGGAAACUCUGACCCAGCGACGCCGCGUGCGGGAUGAAGGCCUUCGGGUUGUAAACCGCUUUCAGUAGGGAAGAAGCGAAAGUGACGGUACCUACAAAAGAAGCACCGGCUAACUAUGUGCCAGCAGCCGCGGUAAUACAUAGGGUGCAAGCGUUGUCCGGAAUUAUUGGGCGUAAAGAGCUCGUAGGUCGUUUGUUACGUCGGAUGUGAAAACCUGAGGCUCAACCUCAGGCCUGCAUUCGAUACGGGCAAACUAGAGUUUGGUAGGGGAGACUGGAAUUCCUGGUGUAGCGGUGGAAUGCGCAGAUAUCAGGAGGAACACCAAUGGCGAAGGCAGGUCUCUGGGCCAAUACUGACACUGAGGAGCGAAAGUCUGGGGAGCGAACAGGAUUAGAUACCCUGGUAGUCCAGACCGUAAACGGUGGGCACUAGUUGUGGGAACCUUCCACGGUUUCUGCGACGCNGCACGACAUAGUAGCCCGCCGUCGGGAGGUACGAGCGCGAGAAGUAAACUAACAANAGAGUAAGUAGCGUUGAGAGUUGCCGACGGACGACGACGAGGGAGGAGG